rnacentral:rRNA from 1 species
GGUUUUAGUUUAGCCAACAGAUAAUGCUGUGCACUCUAAACAGACUGCCGUGGAUAACACGGAGGAAGGUGGGGAUGACGUCAAAUCAUCAUGCCCCUUAUGAUCUGGGCUACACACGUGCUACAAUGGUCGGUACAACGGGCAGCGAAAGAGUAAUCUGGAGCGAAUCCUAAAAAGCCGAUCCCAGUUCGGAUUGUGGGCUGAAACUCGCCCACAUGAAGUUGGAGUUGCUAGUAAUCGCGAAUCAGAAUGUCGCGGUGGAUGCGUUCCCGGGUCUU